GAAACGCAGGCUAAUACCGAAUACGUUCUACGGAAUAAAGGUGGCCUCUACUUGUAAGCUAGCGCUAAUAGAUUGGCCCGCGUUGGAUUAGCUAGUUGGUGGGGUAAAGGCCUACCAAGGCGACGAUCCAUAGCUGGUUUGAGAGGAUGAUCAGCCACACUGGGACUGAGACACGGCCCAGACUCCUACGGGAGGCUGCAGUGGGGAAUAUUGGACAAUGGGCGCAAGCCUGAUCCAGCAAUGCCGCGUGUGUGAAGAAGGCCUGAGGGUUGUAAAGCACUUUCAAUCGUGAAGAAGGGCAGUAAUUUAAUAAAUUACUGCAUUGACGUUAACGAUAGAAGGAGCACCGGCUAACUCUGUGCCAGCAGCCGCGGUAAUACAGAGGGUGCAAGCGUUAAUCGGAAUUACUGGGGCGUAAAGCGCGCGUAAGGUGGUUUGAUAAGUUGGAUGUGAAAUCCCCGGGCUUAACCUGGGUCGGUCAUCC
rnacentral:rRNA from 1 species